rnacentral:lncRNA from 1 species
UCUGAACCUGCUGCCUUCCACAGCUCCUCCACUCAUCUUUCUACCGUCCUUGAUUGCAGUCCUUCCUUCUUCAAUUCACUCAUGUAGCCAUGUAUGAGGUUUUUUCUCUUGAAUUCAGUGGGACAACCGUUAUGUUUACCUUAGCCCUUAGUUCUGCUGCUAGCUGAUUUCUGAAGUUUUCGUUGUGUAUCUUAGGUGUGCAAGAGAAGAGCUGUUUCAGCAACAUUGGUAUGGCGGGUUGAGGCCAUCUUCAGCUGAUCCUUCGUCCCAUCCACUAUCUCAUCCUCUGUUUUAAAAUUUCAAUCUGUAAACAAUGUUAUCUACAAUUUCAUGUUUCCUAUUUUACUGUGUCCACUGAAGAUAGUAUGAGAGUUUAGGGUUCAAUUCAGCUGCUUUGACAGUUGACAGGCCUGUGCUUGGCAGGCGCGAAGCUGAUAUCAGAAACAAGUACAGUGCUUGCUAUCUUUGUUGAAACCUCCUAAAGUUC